rnacentral:tRNA from 1 species
GGAGAGAUGUCUGAGUGGUUGAAGGAGCACGCCUGGAAAGCGUGUGUACCCUAAAAACGGGGUACCGAGGGUUCGAAUCCCUCUCUCUCCGCCA